CAGAAGCGAAAGGUGACGCCACCAUGCAACGGUGCCACUUCGCGCUGUUUUCUGUCGAUUUUGAAACUUUCGGCAGCGGCGGCGGCGGUUCGUUCGUGCUUUCGCUUGCUUAAAUGGUUCUUUAUGCUUAAGGUGCUUCGCGUUUUUGAGUGGAGAACGUGAAAUCGUGCUUGCAAGAACGGCCGCAACAACACCGCUUUAUUUCGGCUCGAGCGCCUGUCUUCACUGGAGGUCGCAUUUGAAAUUCUGUAAUACUAGAAACCAUUGAGCCCGCCAAUCCCCGUGUAAGCAGCUGCAUCUUUACCUGAGGUGGAACGAAGGAGGAACUUCCGUAGCUGUGAUCUCAUCCACCAACUUUCUGCACAGGAGUCUCAGUUCGUAAAAGAUUGCAACAAAACAUUCCAGGGUAAAAAUCAAGCCUUUCCGGUCAGAAGAAAUGUUAAACCUCCUAAUCGAAACAUGGCUCCAGGACCCACAACUGCUUCCAAGAUGCUGCUCACGCUUGCUCACCCCUUUGGAUUAUUGAAGUGUCUCAGGGCGUACAAAUCGAACACUGAAUGUGUCACCAGUGGCAGUAACAUCAAGGGCCAAAGUCCUCACAAGGAAGAUAGACAAAAGAGAGAUUAUUCGUCUGCUAGCUGCCCACACCAAGGCCUAACAAGUUAAACUGUCACCAUAAUGACAACAGGUUCUCUUGAACUAUGUGCCUCACCAUGAAAUGUUUGCAAGUUUACCAGAUAGAGGGGUGUGAGCCCUAUUAGGAAAGCAGUAGCCUACAGUUUUGCAUUGUACCGAGCUGGCAUGCUAAAAUUUUGUGUACCAGCUGACCUGCUUUUAAGAGAGGUUCAUGACAAAUGGAGAAGUAACAUGUUGAGUCCCCAGUUGUUUCUUUUCAAGUCAUUAUAGCCAUGGCGACCAGAACAGAAACAUUAUAGCAAGCUCCUACUUGAUAAUGCACAAACUCUGUCACCUGCUCUUUGAAAAUCGGCUUCAUAGGCGUUACCACCAAGUAUCACACGCUCACUCACAACACUAAUUUGUUACAUAAAAAUGCAGAGAAUUUUAAAAUGGUCAAACAUGCUCAAUGCAAUUUUGAGGAAGUUGUACUUCAUGAUUACUGAAACUCGGGCAGUUACUGUUUAUUUUAUUAAUAUACGCUUAAGGCCAUAUAGCAUUAGAGAGGAGUUGCUACAAAGUACUAAAGCAAACAAGUUUAAUUUAAUAAUUUUGAUUGUACAAUUUUAUCUAAUGUUCUUAGAAAAAGUUUAUCGGUGAUGGCAACACUGUUUGAGGGAAGGUAGUUCCAUUCCCUAGAUGUACGUGGGAUAAUGAUUGAAAGACUUCACGUAACAUGAAUCAAUCAUACCUUACUGUGAUGAUUGACACAUAUUGAAAUGCACUGGGGCCAAAGUAUGAAGUGAAGUGUUGUGUGAUAAAAAUUUUACGAAAUAGUGAAACACUGGUGACAUUACGGCGGUUAGCUAGUUGAAUAAGUGCCAAGGGUAGUGUGAUUUUCCAAGGAUAUGUGAGCAUACUUAUAUGUUUAUUUAGUUUCCUUGUUUAUUCACACAAUAUUUGCAGAAGUCCUUGUAGAAACUGUUAUCUCCGUUACAAUCCUUGCUUUCCUACGAGUACUCCAUUUGUGUCAAACACUUUACUGCUGGAUCUGAACACUAAAUGUGUAGCAUAAGUAUCAAGCAGAAAUAUGUCCUGUAAAAUUAGCACAAUGUCACUUUCCCCCUACACUUUGUGCCUCACACCAAUGUCUUGUCGAAACAAUGGGGCAUUGCAGCUAGAGCUUAUCUUGCUGGCAGUACAUCUUUGACGAUCAUGUUUUUUUAAAAAUCUACCCGAAAUCGUUGAACGCAGACACUAUACGUAUAGUAUGAAACACAUCAAGCAGCACUUUACUCAACUACAAGUGGGUGGGUAGCACAGCAUAAAUAUCGUCUGAAGUAUCGCUCUCCCUGCCAUACCGGCAUGCCAAACGCGAGGAAGCUUUGCUCGAUUUUAGCUUUUAGUUCCAUUAAAUAGAUGGCUAUUUUUGUUUCUGUAGGUUGUAAGCUUAGUGACCGACAGCAUUCAGUCCAUCUGACCUGUACGAAAACUGUGAGCAUGUACAGCUUCAUUUACCAUUCACAAUAAACAAUGUAAGCUUA